AGCUACAAGGCUGAAUAUCCUCUUAUCUAUACGUUACAUGUGCUAUAUGUAGCACUGCACUAUGUAUGCAAGAGCUCACAUGCUGGAAUGAUUAACUCUAUGUAGGCGAGUGUGAACUGUGCAGUAAAUUAGUCUGUCAGCUCCUACAACAAGCCCUCAACUCUCUAUGACUGGAAGGAGAAAUAUACAGUGACGGAAAUCAUCACUGACUUCUGUAGACAGGAAAUGCUUGAACCGAAAAAGAAUAAAACCCUGAGAAAAGUUCUGUAAGGGCCCGGCCUCCUCAGUAAGAGCAGAGGGUGGAGAAUUCGGGGCCUGGCUUUAUCUACUGCAAACCUGUCCCUUAUAGGAAGAGAUGGGCCUGACGGUGAGAGAUGCUCUGGUCUACGCUCUGGAGAAUCUGGAGAAGGUGGGAUUUAAGAAGUUUCGAAAGCAGUUACAUGAAAUCGAGGUCAAAGAGAAUUAUAGGAGGAUCCCGAGGGGCAAACUGGAGGACAAGGACUGGGGUGAUGUGGCUGAUCUGAUCAGGGAAUACUACAAGGAUGUCUAUGGGGUGGAGGUGACCCUGCAAGUUCUAGACAAGAUCAAUGAAAGGCAAGUAGCCGAGGAGCUCCAGGAAGACUUACAGAAAGUGGACAGAUUUGUGAGGUUAAAUGAACUGGAGGAGUCGGGAUGUUUAGCCCCAAAAGGCAGGCCAAUGACGCUCGGCCUGAGUGACAGCGGCGAGAUGAUGUGCUCCGUCACGCUGGAGACAUUUUAUCCUGGAUAUCUCCAUAUUGAAUGGAAGUGUAGACGAGAGACGUCAACAGAGGUUUUAUCAUCCCAAGAGGUCUACAGAGAAAGUCCUGAUGGAAGAUCAUUCUCAGCGAGUAGUGAGGUCAGAAUUUCCCAGGAUCUCCUCAGAUGUCCAGAAUCCACAGUACACCUCAGCUGGGAACACGAAUAUACAAGCACCAAGGGGCAGCAAACCUUCUCAAUCAGUGAUCAAGAUUUCCUUUGGAGGCCAGUAGUCGAUGACAUACAGACACCACAGCGUUUAUACCAUGAAAUCCCCGCUGUCCUACAGUGCCACAUAUCAGGAUAUUACCCGGACGCCGUCGCCGUGAAGUGGUUCAGGAAAAAUAAUCGUAAUCUUGAGUUAUGUGAAGAGUCUGAUGAGGUUUCACUUCCAAAAAUCAGAUCAAGUAAAAAUCCCGACAACACCUACAGCUGUACAGCAAGGCUAAUGAUGACGCCUAGACUGAGAAACCACCAGGGGGCAGAAUACAUUUGCCGAGUAGAACAUCCUUCUCUGGAAGAGGCAAUCAAGAAAAGCUCAGGAGGAAUCAACCUGCUGGCAAAACCUCAGCUGGAGUCAAUAGGGAAGACGCUGCUUGAGCAUAUGUCGAUUCGGUUUUCCUUGCAUCUUAAGACUUUUUACCCAAAAGACAUCAAGGUGAAGUGGCAUCAUGGGGAGGAGGACCUCAGAGAAGGGGUGAAGAGGGGGACGAGACACACAGAAACGUUGACAGAACGGGAAGAUUCAUUGUUCGAUGUAAUCAGUGAAUGUUGUCUAUUUGCACCGAGCUUUGGAGAUCCCCAGUAUAAAGCGUAUGUAACCUGGGAGCACGAGUCCAUGGACGGACCUGAGACCAGGAUGUUGUGUGUGAGAGAUUUGCCCUGGACCCCAUUUGUGGAAGAUAUAUUUGUUCUCUGGUUGAUAGAUAAUGAAAGAACCAGGAUGAUGUGUCGGAUUUACAACUUUUUUCCCAACAAACUGACCGUGUCCUGGUAUAAGAAGCAAGAUGGAGCUGUGUCUGCAGUGCAGGACUCUGAGGACAUCACUACUGAGGUUUCUCCACCUGAAAUGAAAAACAAGACAUUCGGCUGUACAGCAACUUUAUGGUUUACUCCAGAUGCGGAGAAGGACGAAGGGUCCGAAUUUAUCUGUAGGGUGGAGCAUCCCAGCCUGGAACAUCCGAUAGAGAAAAGCACCGGACCCCUCCAUAUAUCCAGGCCUGGUGAUUAGAAACCUGGAUUUCAGCAACAUUUUUCUAUUUAUGCACCUAAAAGGUCUUAUCGAAAGAGACAACUCUUAGAAACCUAAGUCAACGGAGAUUAAAAAUCAGUAUAAUUAAAAUGAUAUCCAGCGACGGUGGCCGGCAGUAGCAGCCAAUAACACAAGGAAAUUCGGCUUCGUGGUGAAUGAAAUUUUUCCUGAAAGUUUGAUCAAAGUCAAUUUGUUUCACUUCGAUUCACUCAACACUAAUUACUACAAUACAAGUAAUAAGCCUCGGGACAUCAGAUAUGUUGGGUAAGCACGACAAGAGCAAUACAUUACUCUAGGUUCCAAUAGGAAAAAUGAAAUCGCAAUAUUCCCAGGUAAAACAGGAUGGGACAGUAACAUCGCUUAAAACUCCACAGAGGUGAUCAUUAUCCAUAGGAAACUAACUACAUAGUCGAUAAAAAUAGGGGGUUGUCUCCCUGUGUCGGAUGCCCA